UGCGGGGUGGAGCAGUGGUAGCUCGUCGGGCUCAUAACCCGAAGGUCAUAGGUUCAAAUCCUGUCCCCGCUACCA
rnacentral:tRNA from 1 species